rnacentral:misc_RNA from 1 species
ACCCUUGAAUUUUUUUUUUUUAUCGUAAGCCUCCUUCACCUCCACUGCCAACAAUCGAGCUGCCACCACCAGUUGCCCGCGAAGCUAGAAGAAACCCCAAUCCUCAAAACCCUCCAAAAUGAGUCUACUAAGAAACGCAGUCAAAUCGAGCUUCCCUGUCAGAGCUUUUAACCUAAAUCAUGCCGUCGCAUUCUGUCACCGCCAAUCGCCGAAACUUUUUUCCACCGAAGCCGAGCGACCACCAGCUUCAGAGGACUCUUCAAUCGAUCCAUUUCUUCAAACUACCGCCACAGGUAUGGUAUAUGGGAAGUUGUUUGGCAUCACAAGGCAGACUUUGAGGACUGACGUUAUCAAUUUGCUUGAGGGGUGCAAUUUGACACUUGAUGACAUUAAAGUCAACUACAACCGCGACUUUUUGCCUGUUGGAAUGUAAUCUUUCUUCAUUAAUUUCUAAAUUUAAAUUUCUGGCUUUCUGUUUUUGCAGUUGAGCGCUGCGUUCUGCUUGCUCUCAAUGGAAUAGAUAUGUCUCUAUAAUUAUUUCUCUUUCUAACAAAUAGAGUAUCUGUUGCUAAAUUACUUGUUCCUAAUUGACCUGCUUGCUUCAUGGAAUCUAUUAUUUCUGGUAUGUUUGGGAUUAAGGCUUAAUUGAGUUUUUAUUUUCCCUUAAUUAUUUCUUUCCCCGCUUAUAUUGUAACAUUUUUUUUAAUAAACUUGAAGGUUCUGUUCUCAGUUGUUUAUUUUUUUGUCAGGAUGAUACAAUUCCCUUCUCGUCUAGCAUUUGAUAAUGCAUUCAAGGUGAUUGCAAAAAAAGGACGCUUAUACAGAUUGGAGAAUGCUGACCGUUCUCAAUGGGAUUUUCUAAUGCCUCAUGAUGGAAAAACUGUAAGUUGAAUUUCUCCUUUUUGAAACUUUUUAGUCAUGAGUUUUACAUUUAAAAUGAUUGGUUGUUUUGAUGGUGGUGCAAUUGUCCACCGUUAGUCAAGCAUGUUUGUUAAGUACUCAAAGGAGCCAUAGAGCCUAGGGGAAUCGUGUGCUCUUAAGAGAGUUGAGGUGCACAAUUAAUAAAAUAAGACACAUAAUUCCCCCAAGACAACUAUUAAUAAGAUAAAACAUUUGAAUUCUAGCAUCAUUGUUUUUUUGAAAUAAAACUGAAGCUGUUAAAAAGUCUUAAACCAUAAUCCUACGUUCUACCAAAUGGCAAUAAUCCCUAAAAUGACCUUCAUGUAACUAUUCAUCAGUAACAGUAACAGUAACAGUCUUUUCCAUAAUCAUCAUCAUCUUCUAAUUCUUCUAUUCAAUUAAGAUAAAAAAUAAGGGGGCUGUGUUUCAAGACACAGUAAAAUUAGAGAGUGAAGAAAUUGGUUUUGGGGGCAUCACAUUUUGGAUUAAUUGAGUGAAGGAGUAAAUAGAUGAGGAAAAGAAAAAAUAGGACCAAGGAAAGGAGGGCUGGAAGGAAAAGAAAGGAAAUCAGAGUGAAGAACAAUAGAGAAGAUGGACAUGGAGUGAAAAAGAAUGGAGGAGAAGGAUGAUGAGGAGAGAGAUAGAGAGUACAAAUGUGAUUUAGUGCCACAGAAAUCCUAAAAAGUGUCAUCGUCCUGCUUCGUCUAAUGUUAUUGUCCAGUUAUAAUUAAAGCAACAUUCGUCUUUCUUGGUGUUUGUUGUUUCAAUUUGAUAUGUAUGCAUGAUCUCAUGGUAAGGUCACUUUUCAAUGGUUGAGAUUUCAUAAUCAACUAACACUAAAAAAGGUGCAGACUUUCAUAUGCCUAGGUGCUUACCUUGACGAUAAGGCACACACCCCAUGAAGGUUGCUUGCCUUUUAGUCUUUGAGGCACUCGGGUCUUUGGCUCUUUGGUCCUUGCUUCUUAGGCUUGUCUUUAACAUAUGACGUCGAAUAAUGUGAUUUGUCUUAGUGCUUAAAGCUUCAAUAACUAUUUAAGCUGUCAGCAAUUAUGCCUUGGCCUUGGAACUUUGAAAACUAUCUAUAUAUGAAAUUUGACAUUGAGUUAGGAGAAGCCACAUAUGGUGAUUUCACCAUUCAAGUUACUUUUGUGCUCACUUACAAUAUCUUGUAAGGUGUCUAUAUUUAGUUAUUUAUAUGUUUUGGUCAUAUUUCUAUUGUCUAAAGAAAGGGAGGGUAUGAUCACCAUGUGUAUGAGUAUUGUAACAAGCGCUUAUUUAUUUAUUUAAUAUUUAUUUAAAAAGUUUCGGGGAUUAACAAAUUUAGCAACUUCUCAUUAGUGUUACUUAAAGCUUCAGGCAUAAUGUUUAGUGGUCUCAUAGAGUUAACAUCAUAUUAACAUGCUAACGGAUGCAACUUUUUGGUUUGGAGAUGUUGUUCUGUUGACUUGUAUAUUGUUGUAUAAAUCAAUUCUAGGUGCCUGCAGAAACAUUUGCUCUAUAGAUAUUUGUUUUUUGAUUUGUGAUCAUUUAUCCUUUUCAGUUCUGAAGUUAUAUAAAAAAUGAAAUUAUGUUGAGAUCCAGAGAGUAUAUACUAUUUUGGGCAAGUUUCAAGACCUUGCUUCUACACAAGUAAUUAUUAGAUGCUACAUCUUCUGUAUGAUAAGUAAUUCCUUUAUCUAUUAGCUAAAACAGAAGCUGUUUCUUUAUCUUGCUUAAGAAACUCAUCUUUCUGGAUGUUCAUUGAACAUGAUUUGGAAGCUAUUGGUGUUUUGUGAUAUUUGUAUUGCAAGCCUGUCCACCACGUUACAGAGAAUUCUUCAGGUGUUACUUAGAAUGCUAGAAUUUGCUAACCUGUUGAAUUACUGAGGAUUUCUUUUGUUCUCACUGAAGUGUGGUUAUAUAUAAUAUUCAUGCUUUAUGCUGAGGUUUGCUUUGGCUUUGGAG